rnacentral:rRNA from 1 species
AUACGGAGGAUGCAAGCGUUAUCCGGAUUUAUUGGGUUUAAAGGGUGCGUAGGCGGACCGUUAAGUCAGCGGUGAAAUGUCCCGGCUCAACCGGGGAGCUGCCGUUGAUACUGGCGGACUAGGGUCCAAACGGCGCCGGCGGAAUAUGUAAUGUAGCGGUGAAAUGCAUAGAUAUUACAUAGAACACCGAUCGCGAAGGCAGCUGGCGAGGAGGGCACUGACGCUGAGGCACGAAGGCGUGGGGAUCGAACAGGAUUAGAUACCCUGGUAGUCCACGCAGUAAACGAUGGCGACUUGUUGUCGGCGACAGACAGCCGGUGACAAAGCGAAAGCGAUAAGUCGCCCACCUGGGGAGUACGAUCGCAAGGUUGAAACUCAAAGGAAUUGACGGGG